rnacentral:lncRNA from 10 species
CCAGAAGAAAUCUGUGUUUCUUAACAGCUUUAUGAAGAAGGUGCUUAGGAUUUUACCUUCACACAAAGGCAGCUGAGUGUAGGAAGUCUGCUAAAGGAUGGUGAACAACUUCUCUCCUCUGGGGAUGCUUCCCCGAGCUCCUUGCAGGGUUGCAAGCCACAUGUGCAUGGCCUCUGCUCUCUUAGAGCUCUGCCACCCUUUCCUAGUGACUGUCAGUGCCUCUGAGCAGGCAAUUAGCAGCUGGGUAAGGCUCUUCUUUCAUCUCAGAACAAGGAGACAAGAGGGAAACAAACACCACUGCAAAGUCAGAGCAUCUGGAAGAGGCUCUGGGAGGGUCCAAGCAACAAACCACGCGGCGUUCUCUGGAGGCUGAGCUGGGAUGAGUGGGCGGAAGCAGCCUCAGGUCUGUCUCUUCUCUUCAGCCUGAAACUCACUGCAAAUACCAGAGGUUUUUUUUAGAGAUUAGAUAUAUUUG